rnacentral:rRNA from 1 species
GCUUACAGCCAUACCACCCUGAACCCGCCUGAUCUCGUCUGGUCUCUGAAGCUAAACAGGGUCGGGCCUGGUUAGUACUUGAAUGGGAGACCACCUGGGAAUACCAGGUGCUGUUUGUG